UACGAACCGGCCAAACGUUACUCGGAAUCACUGGGCUUAAAGGGUGCGUAGGCUGCGCGGAGGGUGGGAUGUGAAAUCCCCCGGCUCAACCGGGGAAUAGCGUCCCAAACCGCCGUGCUCGAGGGAGACAGAGGUGAGCGGAACUGAUGGUGGAGCGGUGAAAUGCGUUGAUAUCAUCAGGAACACCAGUGGCGAAGGCGGCUCACUGGGUCUUUCCUAACGCUGAGGCACGAAAGCUAGGGGAGCGAACGGG
rnacentral:rRNA from 1 species